rnacentral:rRNA from 1 species
GAGUUUGAUCCUGGCUCAGAUUGAACGCUGGCGGCAUGCCUUACACAUGCAAGUCGAACGGCAGCACGGGAGCUUGCUCCUGGUGGCGAGUGGCGAACGGGUGAGUAAUGCAUCGGAACGUAUCCUGGAGUGGGGGAUAACGUAGCGAAAGUUACGCUAAUACCGCAUAUUCUGUGAGCAGGAAAGCGGGGGACCUUCGGGCCUCGCGCUCUUGGAGCGGCCGAUGUCGGAUUAGCUAGUUGGUGAGGUAAAGGCUCACCAAGGCGACGAUCCGUAGCAGGUCUGAGAGGAUGAUCUGCCACACUGGAACUGAGACACGGUCCAGACUCCUACGGGAGGCAGCAGUGGGAAUUUUGGACAAUGGGGGCAACCCUGAUCCAGCCAUGCCGCGUGAGUGAAGAAGGCCUU